UUAAGCGACUAAGCGUACACGGUGGAUGCCCUGGCAGUCAGAGGCGAUGAAGGACGUGCUAAUCUGCGAAAAGCGUCGGUAAGGUGAUAUGAACCGUUAUAACCGGCGAUGUCCGAAUGGGGAAACCCAGUGCAAUUCGUUGCACUAUCGUUAACUGAAUACAUAGGUUAACGAGGCGAACCGGGGGAACUGAAACAUCUAAGUACCCCGAGGAAAAGAAAUCAACCGAGAUUCCCCCAGUAGCGGCGAGCGAACGGGGAGCAGCCCAGAGUCUGAAUCAGCUUGUGUGUUAGUGGAACGGUCUGGAAAGUCCGACGGUACAGGGUGAUAGUCCCGUACACCAAAAUGCACAGGCUGUGAACUCGAAGAGUAGGGCGGGACACGUGGUAUCCUGUCUGAAUAUGGGGGGACCAUCCUCCAAGGCUAAAUACUCCUGACUGACCGAUAGUGAACCAGUACCGUGAGGGAAAGGCGAAAAGAACCCCGGCGAGGGGAGUGAAAAAGAACCUGAAACCGUGUACGUACAAGCAGUGGGAGCACCUUCGGGUGUGACUGCGUACCUUUUGUAUAAUGGGUCAGCGACUUAUAUUCUGUAGCAAGGUUAACCGUAUAGGGGAGCCGCAGGGAAACCGAGUCUUAACUGGGCGUUAAGUUGCAGGGUAUAGACCCGAAACCCGGUGAUCUAGCCAUGGGCAGGUUGAAGGUUGGGUAACACUAACUGGAGGACCGAACCGACUAAUGUUGAAAAAUUAGCGGAUGACUUGUGGCUGGGGGUGAAAGGCCAAUCAAACCGGGAGAUAGCUGGUUCUCCCCGAAAGCUAUUUAGGUAGCGCCUCGUGAACUCAUCUUCGGGGGUAGAGCACUGUUUCGGCUAGGGGGUCAUCCCGACUUACCAACCCGAUGCAAACUACGAAUACCGAAGAAUGUUAUCACGGGAGACACACGGCGGGUGCUAACGUCCGUCGUGAAGAGGGAAACAACCCAGACCGCCAGCUAAGGUCCCAAAGUCAUGGUUAAGUGGGAAACGAUGUGGGAAGGCACAGACAGCCAGGAUGUUGGCUUAGAAGCAGCCAUCAUUUAAAGAAAGCGUAAUAGCUCACUGGUCGAGUCGGCCUGCGCGGAAGAUGUAACGGGGCUAAACCAUGCACCGAAGCUGCGGCAGCGACACUAUGUGUUGUUGGGUAGGGGAGCGUUCUGUAAGCCUGCGAAGGUGUGCUGUGAGGCAUGCUGGAGGUAUCAGAAGUGCGAAUGCUGACAUAAGUAACGAUAAAGCGGGUGAAAAGCCCGCUCGCCGGAAGACCAAGGGUUCCUGUCCAACGUUAAUCGGGGCAGGGUGAGUCGACCCCUAAGGCGAGGCCGAAAGGCGUAGUCGAUGGGAAACAGGUUAAUAUUCCUGUACUUGGUGUUACUGCGAAGGGGGGACGGAGAAGGCUAUGUUAGCCGGGCGACGGUUGUCCCGGUUUAAGCAUGUAGGCUGAUUAUCCAGGCAAAUCCGGAUAAUCAAGGCUGAGGUGUGAUGACGAGGCACUACGGUGCUGAAGUAACAAAUGCCCUGCUUCCAGGAAAAGCCUCUAAGCAUCAGGUAACAUCAAAUCGUACCCCAAACCGACACAGGUGGUCAGGUAGAGAAUACCAAGGCGCUUGAGAGAACUCGGGUGAAGGAACUAGGCAAAAUGGUGCCGUAACUUCGGGAGAAGGCACGCUGGUGUGUAGGUGAAGUCCCUGCGGAUGGAGCUGAGACCAGUCGAAGAUACCAGCUGGCUGCAACUGUUUAUUAAAAACACAGCACUGUGCAAACACGAAAGUGGACGUAUACGGUGUGACGCCUGCCCGGUGCCGGAAGGUUAAUUGAUGGGGUUAUCCGUAAGGAGAAGCUCUUGAUCGAAGCCCCGGUAAACGGCGGCCGUAACUAUAACGGUCCUAAGGUAGCGAAAUUCCUUGUCGGGUAAGUUCCGACCUGCACGAAUGGCGUAAUGAUGGCCAGGCUGUCUCCACCCGAGACUCAGUGAAAUUGAACUCGCUGUGAAGAUGCAGUGUACCCGCGGCAAGACGGAAAGACCCCGUGAACCUUUACUAUAGCUUGACACUGAACAUUGAGCCUUGAUGUGUAGGAUAGGUGGGAGGCUUUGAAGCGUGGACGCCAGUCUGCGUGGAGCCAACCUUGAAAUACCACCCUUUAAUGUUUGAUGUUCUAACGUUGGCCCCUGACCGGGGUUGCGGACAGUGUCUGGUGGGUAGUUUGACUGGGGCGGUCUCCUCCCAAAGCGUAACGGAGGAGCACGAAGGUUAGCUAAUCCUGGUCGGACAUCAGGAGGUUAGUGCAAUGGCAUAAGCUAGCUUGACUGCGAGCGUGACGGCGCGAGCAGGUGCGAAAGCAGGUCAUAGUGAUCCGGUGGUUCUGAAUGGAAGGGCCAUCGCUCAACGGAUAAAAGGUACUCCGGGGAUAACAGGCUGAUACCGCCCAAGAGUUCAUAUCGACGGCGGUGUUUGGCACCUCGAUGUCGGCUCAUCACAUCCUGGGGCUGAAGUAGGUCCCAAGGGUAUGGCUGUUCGCCAUUUAAAGUGGUACGCGAGCUGGGUUUAGAACGUCGUGAGACAGUUCGGUCCCUAUCUGCCGUGGGCGCUGGAGAAUUGAGGGGGGCUGCUCCUAGUACGAGAGGACCGGAGUGGACGCAUCACUGGUGUUCGGGUUGUCAUGCCAAUGGCACUGCCCGGUAGCUAAAUGCGGAAGAGAUAAGUGCUGAAAGCAUCUAAGCACGAAACUUGCCCCGAGAUGAGUUCUCCCUGAGACUUUAAGUCUCCUGAAGGAACGUUGAAGACGACGACGUUGAUAGGCCGGGUGUGUAAGCGCAGCGAUGCGUUGAGCUAACCGGUACUAAUGAACCGUGAGGCUUAACCUU
rnacentral:rRNA from 1 species